UGAGACCCAGUGGUGCAUACCUGCACAGUGUUUCCAAGGCCCUGGGUGGGACUGCAGCAGCAUAAGGCAAACAAAGACACCACUGGGCAUGUGUUGGUAGCUCUUGGCAAGCAUUUGUAAAGCCCUGCCUGAACUUAGUCCUCAGCUCCAAGAAAAGGAAAGACAAACAGCUAUGCAAACUAAAAUGUUCACCAAACUUUAGAAAAUGGCACCAAGUACUAAUGAACAUGAUCAGUAAGAAAAGCUGAAAACACCACUUCCCCGAAAUAUACCUGCACAAUGGUACACCCCUGUAAUCCCAGCAUUCAGGAGGAGAGCCUGGGCUACGUAGACUAUCAGACUAUCACAAAAUAACCACUGACUGCACAUGUAAAAGUGCUGGACACAGGGCAGCCUGGCUAUCUAAUAGCUCUCACAGUGAAAACCUGUCUCAAGCAAAGACAACUCUCCAAUCCAAAAUAAUAAAGUUUAAGGAGUGCAAAAAUUUUUAGAAAAACAUGGCAUAUUUUUAGGAAAUUAAUGGGUCGUUUUACCAGCACAAUGUUUAUAAGCACAUUUUGUUUCACAAUAUUGGUAACAGCCAGAAAAGAAAUUGGAGCUUGGGGAAAUCUGAAAAUAAAACACCACCAUUUCUUAACUAUGGAAACUUCUAAGGUUUGAGUGCAGAGCACCUUUGUUGUUCUGAAACAUAGCUCAGGCUGGCCUCAGAAUCAGCCCUUGCCUCUUGUCCCGAGUGCUGGAAUUCCAGAUCUAUGUCACCAUGGCUGGCUUGAUUACAAAGCAUUUCUAACUACUAGUCCCAUUGUCAGCUGAAGUGCCAGGCAGUGUAGAGAUUGCCAGAUGUUCAAACUUGGUCUUCCAUUGCGAUUUUCUGAGGAACAUGAACAAUAUAUCCACCCCAGUGGAGAAACUACACAAAGGGAAGAUGCUGUUAGCAUCUGGUUAUUUCUGGGAGGAAGGAAGAGAGGUCUACACCCGCAGCCCAGCGCUGCCUGCCAGUGUGAGGCAGGACCAGAGUGCUCCAUGUGGAGAGCAAGAGAAGAGACUGUCGGGUAGCUCCGGGGUACAGCCUUCACUGGAGUGGAGGGCAAGAACUGGCGAUCGAGUGUGUAUUCUACUUAAGAACAGAAAACCAAAGAGGUGACAAUUCUAGGAAACCAGGCAUUAGAGUUGUCAAGUCAAUGAAAAUAAAAGCCAUGAGUGACACACAUUACUAAGGAACUGAACCUCCUUAAGAAAUGAUGCUUUUAGGUCUGGCAGUGGCAGUGGCCACAGGCUGAUCUCCAAGUUCGAGGCCAGCCUGGUCUACAAGGUGAGUUCCACAACAGCCAGAGCUGUUACACAGAGAAACCCUGUCCUAAAAAUACAAAAUAAAUCAGAACGAAAAGAAAAAAAAAAGGUGCUUUUAAUCAGUGGAUGCAACCAGAUCACAGCAAAAGCAAAUGGUUUCCAACAAGUCUCUAAAGAAAUGUGGGCUUGGCUUGUGUGUUCAUAGCUGUUGUGUGAAGGCUGGGGUAUAGCUCAGGGGCAGAGUAUGUCUAUCAUGUGUGAAGCCCAGGGUUCAACACCCAGAACUGCCAAAAAUGUGUUAUAUGUGUAAAUGUGCUUUUAAGAUUUACUGAGAAAUAAUCUACCUACUACUAUACAGUCCACUCAUGGUAUGUAAUUCAAUACAUAAAUCAAAAAUAUAAUUAUCGUCAAUAAAAUUGGAGAAAAAACUUAA